UGGGGAAUAUUGGGCAAUGGGGGAAACCCUGACCCAGCAACGCCGCGUGAGGGAAGAAGGUUUUCGGAUUGUAAACCUCUGUUCUUGGUGAAGAGAAGAAGACGGUAGCCAAGGAGGAAGCCCCGGCUAACUACGUGCCAGCAGCCGCGGUAAUACGUAGGGGGCGAGCGUUGUCCGGAAUGAUUGGGCGUAAAGGACGCGUAGGCGGCUGUUCAAGUCCGUAGUGGAAGUCCAUUUUUCAAGGGUGGAAGUGCUAUGGAAACUGAGCAGCUUGAGUGCAGGAGAGGUUAUCGGAAUUCCCGGUGUAGCGGUGAAAUGCGUAGAGGUCGGGAGGAACACCAGUGGCGAAGGCGGGUAACUGGACUGCAACUGACGCUGAGGCGCGAAGUGUGGGGAGCAAACAG
rnacentral:rRNA from 1 species